GACCCAGAUCCUCCCCCGCCAUGGUUGGGAAGAAGGGAGGGCUUCGGACUCCUCACCGAAAGCGUACCAUUCUUCAGUGUCUGAUGCCAUCAAGGACAUUGAGUCAUUGAUGGCAAUCUCUUCCUCAGAGGCACCAAAGGAAACCAAGCCACUCGCUGCAAAGGAGGGGUGUUGAUCCUCUUGAGCGAAGAGGAUCAACGGGGGAGGAUCAUGGCGGGGGAGGAUCUGCGAAGCACACUGGCGCAACGAGGCAGAGCGGGGAGAGGGGGGCACAUGGGCGCUGGGCCGACGUGACACUGCUCACACUCGUUGAGAGAGAGCCGCAUGCAGAACAUGCAGCGGGAGUCAAGCCUGUAUUCCUUACCAGUAAAUAGCAACAGUAACCAAAGUAAUAUCCAAGAUGGCAAUGUCUAUCACUUUUUGACACAAGAGUCCAAACAAGCCACAAGUUCAUCCGUCAAAUCUUCAUUAACUGACAGCAGCUUUUAUAUUUGGAUGAAGAGCGGAGCAUUUAAGUCGCGCAUGGAAGAACACAAAACUGAAAGCUCUGGUGGAGAACAGUGACUGGAUCUAAAACCUUCAGAUGACACACAUCUGCGUCGCUACUUCCCUCCUGGUGGAAUGACCUGCCCAACUCGAUCCAAGCACCUGAGCCAUCUUCAAGUAUCUCUUCCAUCUUCUAUUCUAUCUGCUUGUUUUCUUUUUAUUUAUUAUAAAAACAUGAAAUUUUAACACUAACACUUAUUAUAUAAAAAAACUUGACCUUCUAACACUAGCACUCUCUAUUCUAUUUCUAUUUUAUUUACUUGUUUUCUUUUAUUUAUUAUGGAUAAAAAAACUUGACCCUCUAACACUAGCACUCUAUUCUAUUUCUAUUCUACUUGUUUUUUAUUACAAAAAACUUGUCACUAAUAUUCUCUAUUCUUUUUCUAUAGUACAGCAUCUACUCGUUUUCUUUUUAUUAAAAUAACUUGUCCCUCUAAAACAAGCUCUCUCUAUUUCAAUUCUAUCUACUUUUCAUCGUUUUUGUUUAUUAUUUAAAAAAUUUUAUUUAUUUUUUUGAUUUCCUGUUUUGAUCUCACACCUAUGGAAGCCCAUUUCCGCCACUGAAAAAAAUAAAAUAAAACAAGCGUCAAAUUGGUGUAACAACCCCACCCAGUGGCCAGAGGUGUCUUACCCGGACAUUUACUUGUACCUCAUCGAGUC